rnacentral:lncRNA from 10 species
GCUCAAGAAGAAAUGUGGAUGAAUCAGUAACCAUACAUAGAUUUGAAUUCUGCUUUUCACAUAACAACCUCAACCUAUCUUCCAAGUUCAUCUCAAAAUAGUCAUCUUUUUCAGCAGCCUGCAUCAACACAGCAGAGAAGUGGAAGAUACACACAGAGCUAGGUGAUGCGAAUUCAAAGCAUGAAAAAUCGAGAUGCCUGCUGCCUUGGGAUUUCAAAAUCUAGAAGAGAAGUGAACACAGAGAGGAGAAGACCAUAUGACAACACAGCACAGAUUAGAGGGAUUGUGUACAAACUGGGAAACACAAACGGUUACUAGGAGCCAACAGGAGCUGGGAAGAGGCAAAGAACGAUUUUCCCCCAGAGCCUGCAGAUGGAGCAUGGCCCUGCCAACACCUUGAUAUCAAAUUUCUACAAUCCAGAACUGUGAGGGAAUAAAUUUCUGUUGUUUUAAGCCAUAAAAAAGGAAGAAACACCCAGCACCCAGGGCUGGAAUUUAUAUAUUAAUAUGAACAUGUCUUAUGGUAUCUUGCAAUGAAAAUAUGUGGGUAGUAGGGGAAAGAUAAGGUUUAAAAUGUAUAAAACCAGCAACGAGUGUGUGGAAAAUUCUUCCAGUCAUCAGCUGUGUACAAUUGAAUUGGAACAUUAGGUUCUCAUUGACGCCUAGUCAAAAUGGAAGUUCUCUACAGUCAACAGUAUGCUUGAUAUUUCAGUGCACACAAUGAUAAAUGCACGAGAUAUUCUUUUUGCUCUUUUUGUGGAAAGCAGAAAAAAAAAAUGAACUUCUCAGACACCUCUAUUUGAAGGAUGAAAACAGUAGUAAAAACCGGAAGUUACUUCAGUGCGCAGAAAUGCUUGUUUUAUGCAUUUUGAUAUAUUAGUUCAUAUUUUACUGUAUCUGAUUUACCUUACCCUGGCAUAGUCUGGUACUUUCAGAGCAAACAAUCCACAAAAUUGCCACUGAUGCAGCAAAAAAAUUGCUUGAAAAAGCUAGUGUUCCAAUAACAAAGCUAGUGCACACACAUGUAUCAGUCAACAUACAAUACAAAAUAGCAGCCAUUUAAAAAUGCAUUUAAAUUGCUCUUGGUUAUGCCUUACUUUAAGGUUAAUCUUUUGUAUUUCUUACAAUUAUUGAUUAUACCAAAAUCCAUAUGUAACAGGAAGUGUUCUAGUAGGAGCCAAAAACAUUAACAUAAAAAAGACUGGUUAACACUCCAGUCAAAAAACUCUUCUAUAUUUGUAUUUGUCAGGUUUUUACGUUCAAACUUAUUAUUUAUUUUUUCAUUCUAAAUAAAUAUUCACUCUCAUACCAAAUUUAUAUUUGUAAUUUUGUAGUUCUUUCCUUAUAGAGAGUCUCUCAAAUUGAAUACAUUUCAGGCCUCACAAAAAUCUGGAACUACCUUUAUGUAAGGGUGGAAACUGAAUGGAUUAAAAUCAUCACAUUCAUGAUGACUUAGGCAAGAAAGUGUAGAUUACACUAUAAAACACUUGGAAAUAACUUAGGUAAGAUAGAAUUAUAGAUCCCACAGUUUCUCCUAUCAUGGUAUUUAGAACUCUGAAUGAAUGGGAAAAGCAUAUAGUUUAAACUUUUUAUUAUAAAGUCUUUGAGAUUUAGAAAAGUAAGCAACUUGCUUGAGUUAGUGAAAUAAGCUGUGUACUAGGUUUGAACUACCGUGUAAGCCUGACAUAACCCCUGGCCUAGCAUCUGGGAGCUAUGGAACCAGGGACAGCUUCACGGAUACAUGACCUGUGCAGAUAGAGUGCCCCCCCCCCACUCUUAGAAGUGUUCUUCGCUGAGUUUAAUACCAUACUGUCAUCGUGAAAUUCUUAAUAAUUUUUGAACAAAGGGGUCCACAUUUUCAUUGUGCACUAAGCCAUAAAAUUAUGUAGCAGUUCUGUGUAGAGCACAAAUGGCCUAUUAUAAUGUCUCAUGAUGGGUCGAAAUGCAGGCCUUUAUGCCCACCUGGCUGUCACUAGCUGCAGCUGCCACAAGAAGGACAUGACCUCAGGUGAAGAGACACUCUGCAGCUGAGGCCCACCCUGAAGGGGCUGACACCUGGACAACAAGACUUUUCUUAAAGGGAGAUCCAGGUAGUAUAUUGCUGUGUCCAACACAGUCAUAACACCCAUUUUCUCUAUGUGUGUUAACAUCUUAUCAGAAAACUAAAAAUAAUUUUCAUUGCCCAAUUUUCCCCUUCUUCAUUAUGUGUGUAAAGUUUACCAGAAAGUCUGUCAUUUUCCAAAGUCAAUGUCUUAGUGAGAAAAUUCUUUAGAGAAUUCAAAUUAGUAGAAAACUGUUUCUUCAGAAUUAUUUUAAUUGUAUUUUACAGUUACAGCUCUAAUAAGCUCGGUGUAUUAACAAAAAAAAAAAAGGAUAAGUGCAAAUGUUCUUCCAUGGUUUGAACAUGCCAAUCACUUCCACAUUAGCCAAUAUAAAAAGAAAAUUUUUAGUCUCUGAUUUUUUUAAAUCAAAUAUCACUUAGAUAUACAUUCCAAAUAAACUAUUUCAGGUAAAUAUGUAUUUUAGAAAGAUCUUGAAUUUAGAGGAAUCUGGAAAAAAUCAACAUCUGUCAUCUUGGUUAUAAAUGAGAAAAUAAAUCACCAGCAGUUACAAUACUUAAAAUUAAAAGCCCAAAACAAUAUUUUAGCAUCUCAGUAUCAUUUCUGAUGUACUGUGGUCUGUGGCAAGAUCAUGAGCAUGAGGCCCAUCACCCAGGCCUCCCCAUCACUCGUACCCUGAUCAUUUUUUAUAGCACUAAUUACCUUCUAACUUAUUCUCAUUUUUUAGUUUCAGUGCUUAUCUCUUCCCUCUAAAAUAUAAGCUCUCUGAGCUCAGGGUUUUUUAUCAGUUUUGUUCACUGUCAUAUCUCCAGGGCAAAAAGGAGUGGCUGGCCCAUAAUAGGUGUUCAAAUAUCAGUUAAUGAAUGAAUGAAUAAGUAAAUCCAUAGAAGGCUAUUAAAAAUCUUUCUAGAAUUGCAACUAAAAAUACUAUCUGUAAAUUCACAUUUUCACGAUUCACAGAGGUGGAGAGCUGUUAUACUGGAUCUCAACAGAAAUCGAAAUCAAAAUGAUAAGGCAAUAUUCAUACUCUUAAACACUCUGAGUUAGAAAAAAUAAUUACGGCAUAAACCAGUUUGAAGUUCAGCUUUUGUUCAUGGAUGAUUACAUCUACUCAGAAUCAUGCUUUUGUUGCAGUCUAAUGGUUAUCUUAAAUAGCUGAGGAAGGUAUAGGAAAGUUAUUCUAAUUCUUUUUGGAAAUGGAUAAAGACCUAGAUAAUUGUAUCCUGUGCUGGUAAUAAAGCUUGGUUUCUACCUUGCUGCUCAGGAUAUGAUUAAGGUCUUAUCAUUCACUGAUACAUAGGAACAUAAAUCCUUGGGGAAGAGGGGUGGGAUGUUAGAAUGAAAGGCUAAAAUAAUAAUAAUAAUAAUAACCAUGAUGUUAACAUUAACACUGAAAGCACAUAUUUGAUGUGAAGUCUAUAUUCAGACAUUACAACCUCUUUAUUAUAAGAUAAGAAAUGUGACUGAGGUAAGCUUACAUUUAGAUAAAGGAUUGAAGAAGGCACAUGGAACUUAGACAGGAGUAGUUCUUGACCCUUGCAAAGAAAGAUUUCUUAUUCUAAUAGAUCAUGUCCCUAAGAAAAAUUCAUUCAUAUUUUUCAUAUACUUCUGUUAUCUACCCCUCACAGGCAGCAAGGGUAGUCAAUGGCAAUGUUAUAAAAGUUAGACUAAAAUUUGACAAACUAAUAAUGCUGGAACCCCACUAUAACUGCAUUUCUACAGAAUGGAGUUUUCUAUAAUGUGGAUCUAUUCAAGAUUUAAAUCUAAGGAUAUUUGUCUUCUGAAAUAUGAAUGUGUACAUAAGACAGUUGUACCACACCCUGAGUCCAUUCUGAGUCACAGGCCUGAGGCCUCAAAAAAAAAAAUUAUAGGGCAUUACUAGAAUUAAACACUUAAAAAUGCAUAACAUUAUUUUAGUUGAUUCAGAUAAGUCACUAUCAUUUUGUUGCUGUUUAACUUUUCUCUUAUUCUCAAACAGAUGCUAAUUAGUAGGGUAAAUUAGUCUAAAUGUGCUUUUGAGUUUAAGCCAGAUGUCCACAAAUGUUAGUGUACAUCAGAAUUAUCUGAGAUGACUGAUAAAAGUGGAAAUUCUUAGGCCCCUUCCUUAGAGAUUCAGAUUCAGUAGGAUUGAGGGUGUGGUCCACAUAUUAAGAAGUAUUAGAGCACAUAUAUAUGUAUUUCAAGCUCUUGUUGGUGUUAGAAAUCAUUUUAGAAACAAUACUAUGUAGCAAAGAUAAGAAAUAUUUAAUGAAUAAAUAUGUUAUCAAGUAUGAUUUUCAUAAUAUAUUCUCCAACCCUUGUACGUCAAUGAAAAGUAUUUUCUAUCUCCUGCCAGUGAUAUCCUCCUAUCCAGGAAAGGUGCCAGUUCAGGUUUGUUCUACAGAAUUGAAAGAAACAGCUGUGUACUAGCAAAUGCCAGAACAGAAAUGACCGGGUAAUUUCCUUCUUAGGCUACCAAGCAGACUGAUCUUCAGAGAAACUAGGCUGGGCACUUGAGAAAGCACUUAAGGGCUUGACUCCCGGCCAUUGGACUUUGGCCAAGGCAAACCUGCCUGCUUUCCUCCUCAGAAGGGGCAGUUGUGUUUGUAGUUUAGGAAAGGAAAUCACUAAUGCCCAGUAGAAAGCCUCCCAGAAUCCCAACAGUAUAACUCUGUUACAGGCUGAAUACAGUAUAUCACCAAGCAAUGAAAAAUAGAUCUCAAGACUAGAGUAAGCCAGCAUUGGUCCUGAAAGCUACUUCAUAUGAGGCUAAUCUAGUCUCUUACGGUGAGAAAUUCUCAUUCACCCAGUGUGAGUGUUCCCAGGAGUAUAUUAGAAUAAUUCAUGGAUAACAUUCAAGGCUAUAAAUAAAUAAAUACUAAAUUUCAAUUAAAAAGGUUAAAUAUCUGGGUUUUGUCUAAGUCAGUCCAGCUAAAAAUGUGCUCCCAUAUAAAUUAGUUUUAUAACAAAAUAUCUUAUCUUAUGUUCAUUAGGCAAUAAAUUUCUUCAAAUGACUUACACAAAAAAUCUCCACCAAAAUAAUUACUGAAUGAAGCCAUUAUGGAAAAGCCAGCUUUUCAUCCAAAUUUAACAUUUUUUUCCUCCUCCAGACUAUCUCACUUAUAAGAGUUAAUGCAACAAAGCCAUACACUGAACAGAAUUCUAUGCAAAUAGCUAGCCUGGCCUACACCUGCCUAAUCCAUAUCCACUUCCUUUUUUUCCAAAUUCAAAUCAUUCUCCUCAUUCACUGAGUCUCUGUGAACACUAGACCAAGCUAGGCAGUUGGAAGCUCAGAAAUAAACCAAGAAGUCUAGAAAAAGCCAAUGAACUUGUAGAGGAAUAUGUGUGUUCAUGAAAAGACAUGCACAAGAAUAUUUAUAGCAGAACCAUUCUUAAUAGCCAAAAGCCAGCAACCGCCCACGUGUGUAUCAACAACAUCGUGGAUAAAUAAAUUUGUGGUUAUAGUCAUACAGCAAUAAAAAUGAAUGAUCUAUAAUUACACACAAUUAUGCAAAAAUCUUUCAAACAUGAUGAGCAAAAGGAGCUACAUUGUUAUUCCAUCCUGUAUAUUUCUAUUUAUAUGAAGUAAACUUUGGUGCUACAAUUCAUAAUAAUGGUUAACUUGAGGGGAAGGGAUAGAUGGUACUGAUUGGAGCUGGAUACUAGGGGAGUAUUCUAAGUUGCUCAUAAGAUUCUGUUUACUUACCUGUGCCCUAGCUAUAAGGGUCUGUUCACUCUAAGCAAAUGUAUUGUGUGGGUUGUACACAAAUUAUACACGUACUUUUCUGUAUGUACACUAUACUUCAAUAAAAAGUUCAGUUAAGAAAAUUCUGUCACAUUGUGAUACCUCUAAGAAAAAUUACGUAAAAUAUAUUAAAUAUGAAAAUGAGAGAUAACAACAGGGAAGGAGGGGUGGUGCCAAAGGAAGCUGAGAGAGAAGAAGAAAAAGAUGAAAGGAUGCUUUCAUAAAAAUAACUGCCUGUUUCCUGUUGUGAAGAGGUAAACUGGGGAUAAAAUCUAAAAAAAAAAGUUUCUUCUCCAAUGAGCAAAAUGUAUGUCAAAAAUUAAACACAACCAAAAAAAUAAAUGACACUGAAGUCCCUGACUAAUCAUGUAAAAAAUAAAGUUAGUUCCCUGUCUUACCCCAGGUAAUUUUCCAGAAAUAACUUACCAUUCCAAUUUAGAGAGAGGUAAAAUAUAGAACAGGAUAUAAUAAAAUAUGAAAGAGGAAACUAUUUUUUAAAACUAGAAAAUAUGGCUGGGCACGGUGACUCACGCCUGUAAUCCCAGUACCUUGGGAGGCUGAGGCGGGCGGAUUUCUGGAGGUCAGGAAUUCCAGACCAGCCUGACCAACAUGGCAAAACCCUGUCUCUACUAAAAAUACAAAAAUUAGCUGGGCAUGGUGGCACACGCCUAUAGUCACAGCUACUC